UGAACCAGACUGCCGCAGAGGGCGGGGGCAGUGCCGUCUUCCUUCUGAGGAAAGUCCGGGCUCCGCAGGGCGUGAUGCCGGGUAACUCCCGGGCGGGAAGGACGAAAGUCUUUUCCGACAGAAAGCGCAGCAGAAAGUAAACCGCCGUUUUGGUAUCCGGCUUUAUCCGGAAAACCGGACGGUAAGGGUGAAAGGGCGGGGUAAGAGCCCACCUCGGCGGCGGCGACGCCGCCGGAAAGAUUUCGGCGCGCCUGGAACGGCAGGGAGGUUCGCUCCAGCCUUUCCGGUUUUCCCGAAAAACGGCAAGCCUCAUCAGGAGCAAAGUUAAGCAGCGGCAGGCGGGGGGCGCAGGCCUCCUUACCCGGAACGGCCCGUUCCGUGCGCCGCGGGUAGACUGCGCAGAGGCUGUCCGCAAGGGCAGCGCAAGAUAGAUGGCAGUUUGACAACAGAACCCGGCUUACCGGUUCAUCGC
rnacentral:RNase_P_RNA from 1 species